UUGAACUAGUAACUGAAGUUGUUUCAUGAGUUUUAAAAGCUUGAUUCAUGAAUUGGAUUGCUUACUUCUUCAUGCAGAAAAUGGCAUCAAUGGCAGAUGAAUCAAUUAUUGUGUAGGAUCAAGUUUGUGCCAUCUGCCAAGCAGUCUAUGGCACUUUGCAUGAUCAAGCUUUUCUUGUUUGCUUGCAUUCAUUAAAUAUUAUAUGAGCAUUUAUUUUAUUAUAUUAUUCAUAUAGUUGAUAUGAAGAGCAUGUGGGUAUGAAGAACAUUUUUUACUGGAACUUGUGCUGUUGUUAUUGGUUUGUUAUUUGGCUUGAGGAUAGCUUUAUUUUUGUUUUACCAUUUACUAGUUUAGGGUCAUCAUGCCUACUCUAUUAAUUUUGCAGGUAUAUAUAUUUGAGCUCUGAGAUAAAUGCGUUGGUUUGACAAACAAGGUUGUGGAUCGAAUUGGCAAGGAGCAUUGAAAAGUUAAUUAACUUGAUUAUUAAUUGCAAGAGAUAUGAGACUAUUCUAAGUAUGAGGCUGCUCUUACUUUUUCUUGGUCUACUCUCCCUAAUAAAUCAGUUUUGUGGAACGUCUUUGCCUCUUUUAGUGGCCAGUUCAGACAUUAUACUUGUAUAUUGAGAUGUCUUUCUUUGGAGCAAUGCUAGACAAAGUUUGUGGUUGAAUUUUUUAGAAUCAAAGAAUGUAUAUUACCAACUUUGUAUACAUUUCUUAAAUUGUACCGGUACUCAAAAAUAUAUUUGUACAAUUUUAAGGGUGUUUUAAGUAUAUUAAAUGAAGCGGGUUUGAUUUAAAGCAAUA